CUGGGCCCCGCGCAGCCCGCGGGGCUGCUCCGGCAGAGUCUGCGCUGAGUGCGAGCAGACACUGCCAACACUGUGCAUCCAUUUUGCCUGUGGGCGUCACGGUGUGAGUGCCAGAGCAGCCUGCGAGCUCCUGGCUGCGAUUCGGGAGCCCGGCAGGGUAGGAAACAGGAUAAAGAAAUCUGAGCUCUUCUAAAGAUGACUUUUAAGUGACAA
rnacentral:lncRNA from 12 species